rnacentral:snoRNA from 1 species
AGGAUGCAUAUGAUGACUGCAUAGUUCAGCAGAUAAUCUGUGAUGAACACUGAUGUCUUUCGCUCCUAUCUGAUGUGUCCU